GCACAGAAAGAGACCACCUUCUUGGCAUCUUGGCUUUGAGCCCUCGAACCAGCCCAAGUCCUCAUCAUCUUCUAGCACACACAGAGCACGAGAUCAGCAUUCUUUUCCUCGACGUCAUCCUCCUCCACCGAGCCAACCACUCCACUUUUCCCCUCAGUAAUUCCCCCACCAGCGCCGAUCAAACCCUAGUCCUCUUUCCCAUCUGCGCCGCCCCCCUCUCUCUCUCUCGUUUCCUUCUCCUCGUCCAAGCCAAAUCAGAGAUUGAGAGGAGUAUCAGAAAGAAAAAUUCAGAUAAUUCCUCAGUUACACACAGCGCACCACCGGAGGAAUCGACGGGCGCCGAAGUUCCCGACAGCCGUCUGCCGCUCUGAGCAUGGGGAUGGAACCCCGUGGCCUCGUUUUCCUGCUCGCUUAGUUCACGGAGCUAGAGUUGUUCUGCUGCGUCAUGGCCGUCCUCGACAUCCUCUCCAACAACAACCGCCGCCGAGCACGUCUUCGUCUCCGUCUCCGUCGAGCUCCACCACAACGCCAUCGUCUUCGAGGGUAUGAAGACAUGUUCGAUGAAGACGACGUUAGCAAGGUUACCUCCGGCUUGGCCUGGGCAGAGUUAUGGACGCCACUGGUUAUCUUCGGGACUCUUAGUCCAAUUUGUAAAUUGUCCGUACUCGGAUGUAUUCGAUCUUUUGUAUGAUUCAGAUCUUUGUGUUGUAUAUUUGUAUCUUGACUCGUUGGAGUCGUUGUUGUAAAUAUGUUUCUUGUGGGCUCUAUUGUAAACCUGCUCGUGGUAAUUCCUCUGGCAUCACGUGUGUGAUUAGUCACGCACGUCGUGUCGGAGGGCGUCUCAGAAUCGAUAGGUGCGGAUUUCGGCGGAAUCGCUGGAAUCCUCAUGAUACCUCGGUAAGGUGAAGUCAAAUGUCCGUAAUAAAGCUCAUCCUGAAGGAUUUAUCGCUGAAGCAUAUUUGGCAGAUGAGUGUAUGACAUUCUGUUCAAGAUAUAUUGUUGGUUUUGAGACCUAAUAUAACAUGUCCUCGCGAGAUGAAGAUAAUGAGUUGGUUGGGCAUCCUGGCGUUAAAGAAGGAUCAACUUUAUUUCUUGAUGAUGGGAAACCACUCGGGAAGCCUCGCAAUUAUGUUAUAAGGGGCUUGGCUAAAGUACAGGCACAUAGAUACAUGUUGUUUAAUUGCUCAGAUGUGAAUCCAUAUCUUAGAGUUCAUGCUGAUGAGAUCACCAAUAGGCGCACUAUCAACCCAAGUACUUUUGAGAAAAUUCAAAACGAGACAGUUCCACGAAUGGUUCAGAUCUCAUGUAAGUGACAUUUUUUCAUGCUCUACAUGUACGCGUAGAUUUAUUAACUAAGCUGCUUCUAAAUAUUCAGAUAAUGAAACUGGAGACGGAAAACAAUAUUUCCAAUAUUAAAAAUGAUAUUAGAUGGCUCGCUCGGGGCCCUGUUGAUGCAGCAAAAAGCUAUCGCGGUUUCAUUUCUCGAUGCAUGCGUUUUAGGCCUAAACGCUUGGAUAGAAUGCCACAAAAUAGUAGAGUAAUGGUAACUGCAAAAACAUCUACUUAUGCCAGAGCAGGUGAUGCAAAUCCAGUUCUAGAUGAUGUGAUGUACUAGGGAGAAUAAUUGAUAUUAUCGAGCUAAACUACUAUGGAUAAUUUCUAGUUGUGUUGUUUAAAUGUGAGUGGAUUGAUGUUUUUUCUGAAAAUGGAAUUCAAAAGGAUAAGUACGGCUACACAGUUGUGAACUUCUCACAUCUGAUACAGAGCAGAGACAAUAUCGAGCAUGAGCCCUUUAUUUUCCCUAACCAAGCUGAGCAAGUGUUUUAUGU